ensembl:lncRNA
GGAGCUCUCUCCUAGCUCUCACUGUUUGUAAUCUCUAGGUCCUUCYUGGCAGCACAUCUAUCUGCUGAGGCUCCCAGAUGACCCAGACCAGUGCAUUCUGCGUGCUCCUCUAGUGCUGCCAUCACAGCCAAAGAUUGGGAUAUUGCAAGAUCAAAGUGAUAACCUAAGAGACUCAUGCAGAGACACAGGAGGAAACUGUGCUGCCUCUGAACUGCAAAAUCACUUUCCUCUCCCUUCCUUCCCUUUGCAUCGUUCCUUACUGCCCCAGAUGUGAGCCUUCUCCAGGGGAAGGAUUAAAUAUGAGGUAUGAUGGAUCUGGGGGUGGGAGGGAUUAGGGGGGAU